GAACUCUACUGUGAAAAAUGAUUGGCAGGUGUCAGACCGGCAUCAUGGUCUGAAGUCACUCUCCACCUACUCCUUCUUCCUCCCUUUAUCUUUCAUAGGCAUCACAUUCCAACAAUCGGUUGCAUUUCUAAUUCUACCCUGGCAUCUGCUUCUUAGGGGACCCAAGAUGACAAAAUGUCCUUGCCUACAAGUCCAGGUGGCUUGCUGCGGCGCUGCAGAGGGAAAACCAGAAUGGAUACUCUCUCGGGGAAGCAGAUCUGAGAAAAGACAACCUAGAAGGGGCUCGUGCACAUGUUGCAUUUUCUUCUCUGGAGUUUGUCAACCAAAUACAUCGCUUCACUCCCGUAAGAAAUGGACAAAGGUAAGAAGCUAAGAUUUUUUUUUUUUUAACUCUAAUUCUUAAGAUAACAGUAUUCAAAAUUCUGAAGUAGAUAUUUCUUAACUAGUUAAAAAAUGCUUGUAAGAACUAUUAGAAUUUGAUAUAUGUAACAUCGUGCCUAUAAAGUGUGCAAUUUGUUUUAUUCUAUGUACAUAUCUGGGAAAUCAUCAGCACAAUCAAGAUAAUGAACUAUCACAGCCCCCAAAUUGUCCCCUCUGUGCCCAGACAGCUGCUGAUCUGUGUUCUGUCCUAAGAUUAGUCAGAAUUUCUAGAAUUGUACGUAAAGGGAAUUCUAGAGUAUGUGCAGUUUUUUGUUUUUGUUUGUUUUUCUACUUCCUCAAAGUAGAGUUUUGAGAUUCACUCACAUUGUUUUGUAAUCGGUAACCAACUCCUUUUUUUGGAGAAGCAGUUCGUUGUAAGAAUAUAUCAACAUUCGUCCAUUUAUUUUGGUUGGGUAUUUGGAUUAUUUCUAGGUUGUGGCAGUUCUAAGUAGAAGUGGUAUCAGCAGUCAUGAAGAAGUUUUUUGUGUGAGCAGAUGCUUUCAUUUCCCAGGAGUAAAUACCUUGAAGUGGAUGGUGGAUUGUGUAUCAUUUCUAUCUUUCAACUUUUAAGAAGCUGCAAAAAUAUUUUACUGUUUUUCUCAUUAUUCAUUCCACAGUUUGAGAGUUGCAUUUUCUUCAAAAUCUCGAUAAACUUGGUAUGAUGAAGCCUUUCAAGUAUUCAUCUCUUUAACACGUGCAUGUCCUUUUCCCAUAGUUUGAAUUCACAUUUUCUUAAUUACUAAUGAUUUUGAGUAUUUUUUUACUUACAUAUUUGUGAUUCUCUAUCUACUUUGGUGUAUGAAGUGUUUAAGUAUUUGGCCCAGUAUUCUGAAUUCUUAGUCUAUAUAGAAAUUCUUUAUCUGAUACAGAACUUGGAAAUGUUUUCUACAGUCUGUAUGUUGUUUUUCAUUCUUACUGAAGUGUGUUUUAAAGAGUGGGAGUUGUUAAUUUUGAUGAAGUUCGAUUUAUAAACUUAGCUAAUUUUGCUUUUCUGAUUUUUUUUUUCCCCUAUUUAUGGAUCGUAGUUUGCUGUAUCUUUGUAUCCCUAGGGAUUUUGUAAUAGGAUGCCUUUCUGGAUUUUACUUUCUUGGUGCUGGAUACUUCAGUUUUCCUAUCAAUAUUUUGGUGCUCUGUUAGGAGAUGCACUUAAGUUAAUGGGAAGACUUUUAAAUCUUUGGGGUCUGUCUUCUAAAUUUUGUUAGGUGCGCAUAGGACAGUGGUUUAUUUAGCUAAAAUUUUACCCUGUUCUGAGGCAAAACUACUGAAUCCCAUAUCUAUGCCUCUUGAAUUAAGAGUAGGAGUUUUCUUUAAUACUUUUAGGUAGUUCUUUCUGGAUGUCAGGUAACUUCCUUACAUGUAUGUCUGAUGAUUCUCUAUAUGUUUCUAGAAUACUCCUUGGCAAAUCUCCCCUUUUUGGUAGGCUACCCAAUAAAUUCUAGCUGCCUUGGCUUCUCCAGACUUCCAGGUCCAUUUGCUCAACUGGAGAAGAUGAACGAGUUCCGCCUUUUCUCUGUACUAUGUUUCUUCUUCCUAUACUAGGACUAUGAUCUGCUCUCUGGGCAGUAAACUGGGACAAGAAAAGGGAUUAUUUCUUUUGUUUACCCUUCAUUGUGGGGUUGCUAAUACCUUAAUCUUGAAUUGUUACUUAGUAUUUCCUUUUUAAUUUUUUUUCCCAAGCAAAGGAUGGCUUUGAUAACCUUUACUCUUUCAUUCCCAAAGCGAAUGACCUAUUGACUUUCUAAUGCUAAAAAUAAGAGGAAUUCGAGGCACAUAAAUAUUACAUAUGAUUUCAGAGUUUAGUUAUGUGCUAUAUUAUUUAACUGACUUACAACUUUGACAAAAAUAUACAAUGAUGAUAGGUCUUCUAUAUUAAAAAAAAAGUGGCUGUUGUAGUAAUUUCACUUAAGUAUUAGGGGUUUUGACCUUAUUCACAAAAUCUCCAAGUCUCUAUUUUAUUUAUAUAUAUACUAUAUAUAUAUAUAGUUAUAUAUAGUUAUAUAUAUAUAAAUUAUGAAAAAGUAAUGAAUUAGAACUUGAUUAUACAUCAUGCCUUUUCAGGAAUAUAAUUCUUCAUAAA
ensembl:lncRNA